CACGUAGGGCGCAAGCGUUUGUCCGGAAUUAUUGGGCGUAAAGAGCUCGUAGGUGGUUUGUUACGUCUGCUGUGAAAUCCUAGGGCUUAACCCUGGGCUUGCAGUGGAUACGGGCAGACUAGAGGUAGGUAGGGGAGAAUGGAAUUCCUGGUGUAGCGGUGAAAUGCGCAGAUAUCAGGAGGAACACCGAUGGCGAAGGCAGGUCUCUGGGCCACUACUGACGUGAGAAGCGAAAGCAUGGGGGAGCGAACAGG
rnacentral:rRNA from 1 species